CCUACGGGUGGCUGCAGUGGGGGAUAUUGCACAAUGGGGGAAACCCUGAUGCAGCGACGCCGCGUGUGGGAAGACGGUCCUCUGGAUUGUAAACCACUGUCCCCAGGGACGAAGAUGACGGUACCUGGGGUGGAAGCUCCGGCUAACUACGUGCCAGCAGCCGCGGUAAUACGUAGGGAGGGAGCGUUGUCCGGAAUUACCGGGUGUAAAGGGAGCGUAGGCGGGGAUGCAAGGUGGGUGUCAAAACUACCGGCUCAACUGGUAGUCGCACUCAAAACUGCAGCCCUUGAGUGAAGUAGAGGCAGGCGGAAUUCCUAGUGUAGCGGUGAAAUGCGUAGAUAUUAGGAGGAACACCAGUGGCGAAGGCGGCCUGCUGGGCUGUUACUGACGCUGAGGCUCGAAAGUGUGGGGAGCAAACAGGAUUAGAUACCCUUGUAGUC
rnacentral:rRNA from 1 species